GCCUCGGGGGCCGGGUGGCGCCGCCUGGCCUCCCGCCCCGGCGCCGCCUGCUCUAACCGCUUCGGGCGCGGCGGCAGCGGUUUGGCGCUGCCUGGAGCCCCGGGUCUCGGUUCCUGCAAAAUACGUUCAAGGAGAAUGCCUGCAGCUGAGCAGAGAAUUUAACCUAAGCUUCCUGGCAACUCAAGGAAAAGAAGAACACAAGAAAGAAACUGAAUAAAGUAGAACAGAAUGGAAACAACUAGAAAACAAAUAGAGCACAGGCCAAGGUGGCAGGAGGGAGACCAAAUACAGACGACAAUGAGUAUAAAUGGGUUCUUCUCUAAGAAAAAGGAAAAAAUGGAAUCCAGUGAUCAGCUGCUUACAAGUCAGGCCCGUAACAUGGCGAUGGAGACAGCAUACAAACUAAUGCCUCUCAGGCCACACAGCCUAUGGAAGCCUAAGGAAGCGGUAUCCCAGUGUUCCCAUCAGCCCAUGGUACACAUCUUCCUCUGUCCAAUCAGCCUGGGCCCUGAGGGUCACGUGCUACAAAACAUGGCUGCCUCAGAAACAGCAUGGGACGUCUUUCCUGGGUGGUUCUCCUUAGACGCAAAGACUCAGCACACCUUGGCUUUUUCCUCCGUUCCAUUCAAGAAAAACACUUCCAACAUGGAGAUCAGAGUGGAUUUCUCUCAGCCCCACUCAGCCCCAAAGUAUGUGAACAAAGAAGCUGUGGCCCUGGUUACUGUGGAAGGAAUCUUGUGACCCUGAGAGAGGGCUGCUGGAAGACACAGAGCAGGGAGGAGAGCGGAACAGAGAGGAUCUGUAAGGAAUGGGCAGGAGCCCUGUUUGCUAUGCAGCCAUUCUGCCAUCCGCCCUCUACUACACUAGACAUUUUUGUAAAAGUCCUAAUUCACCACUGACGAAAUAAUGGCAUCAACAAUAUUGGAGUUCAUUGAAGAUAACUAGACAGAGCUUGCAAAGACAAAGUUGCUAACAGAAAAUGGGGCAAUCCUUGUAGAUCUGAAGCCGUCGGAGCAGGGCCGCAUGCAAUGAACCGGUGAUCCGUAAUCCAUGCAGUCUGCAGCACAGAUGUGGGUGAAGUCUUCCCUCAGUUCCUCGAAGUUUGAGCCUCUUCACUGACCAGCUCAUUACCUAGCAGCAGGCUUCUCCUAGUGCAAAUGAUCCAACUGAGACAAGUGUGUAUUCAAGAUGGAAGCUGCAGCAUUUUUAUAACUGAAUCUUGGCAAUGACAUCUCAUCACUUUUCUGUGUUUUACUCAUUAAAAGUGAGUCUCUAAGUCCAGUCUGUGUUCAAGGGGAGGAGAAUGAAGUACAUGUUUGAA
rnacentral:lncRNA from 1 species